rnacentral:tRNA from 1 species
GGAGACGUGGGUGAGUGGUUUAAACCAACUCAUUGCUAAUGAGUCGUGCGCCGAAAGGUGCACCGGCGGUUCGAAUCCGCCCGUCUCCGCCA